rnacentral:rRNA from 1 species
AACGAACGCUGGCGGCAUGCCUAACACAUGCAAGUCGAACGAGACCUUCGGGUCUAGUGGCGCACGGGUGCGUAACGCGAGGGAACCUGCCCUUAGGUUCGGAAUAACUCCCCGAAAGGGGUGCUAAUACCGGAUAAUGUCUUCGGCCCAAAGGUUUAUCGCCUUUGGAUGGGCCCGCGUUGGAUUAGCCAGUUGGUAGGGUAAAAGCCUAUCAAGGCGACGAUCCAUAGCUGGUCUGAGAGGAUGAUCAGCCACACUGGGACUGAGACACGGCCCAGACUCCUACGGGAGGCAGCAGUGGGGAAUAUUGGACGAGGGGCGAAAGGCUGAUCCAGCAAUGCCGCGUGAGUUAUGAAGGCCUUAGGGUUGUAAAGCUCUUUUACCCGGGAUGAUAAUGACGGUACCGGGAGAAUAAGCGCCGGCUAACUCCGUG